GAUGAACGCUGGCGGCGUGCCUAAUACAUGCAAGUCGAGCGAACGGACGAGAAGCUUGCUUCUCUGAUGUUAGCGGCGGACGGGUGAGUAACACGUGGAUAACCUACCUAUAAGACUGGGAUAACUUCGGGAAACCGGAGCUAAUACCGGAUAAUAUUUUGAACCGCAUGGUUCAAAAGUGAAAGACGGUCUUGCUGUCACUUAUAGAUGGAUCCGCGCUGCAUUAGCUAGUUGGCAAGGUAACGGCUUACCAAGGCAACGAUGCAUAGCCGACCUGAGAGGGUGAUCGGCCACACUGGAACUGAGACACGGUCCAGACUCCUACGGGAGGCAGCAGUAGGGAAUCUUCCGCAAUGGGCGAAAGCCUGACGGAGCAAUGCCGCGUGAGUGAUGAAGGUCUUCGGAUCGUAAAACUCUGUUAUUAGGGAAGAACAUAUGUGUAAGUAACUGUGCACAUCUUGACGGUACCUAAUCAGAAAGCCACGGCUAACUACGUG
rnacentral:rRNA from 1 species